GCGAGAUAAGUUCCUUACAAUCGAUUGACAAUCUCCAAAUCUUUCAAGAAUUCUACAAAAGCGUCAUAAGAUGAGCCCCCUUCCUUGAGUGCCCCAUCAGCUCUUUCUCUCUCCACUAACACACGCUCUCUAAGUGCACCCCUUUCCUCGGAUUCCAUCACCCACCCAAGCUUCGUCUCCACCUCCUCUGCUGUCACCAUAUCCCCGUCGUAGCCUCUCAUCUCCACCCAAAGCUUCAUCUCCUCCGCGAUGAGCACCUUGUUCAUCCUCUGCUCCGUGCUGGAGGAGCAGCUUGGCC
rnacentral:lncRNA from 1 species